UGAGUAGCGGCGAGCGAAACGGGAACAGCCCAAACCAAGAGGCUUGCCUCUUGGGGUUGUAGGACCACUCAUGAUGGGAGUUACAAAGGAACGGGGUAGACGAAGCGGUCUGGAAAGGCCCGCCAGAGAAGGUGACAGCCCUGU
rnacentral:rRNA from 1 species